AUUGAACGCUGGCGGCAGGCCUAACACAUGCAAGUCGAACGAGUGGCGGACGGGUGAGUAAUGUCUGGGAAACUGCCUGAUGGAGGGGGAUAACUACUGGAAACGGUAGCUAAUACCGCAUACCAUCGGAUGUGCCCAGAUGGGCUUAGCUAGUAGGUGGGGUAAAGGCUCACCUAGGCGACGAUCCCUAGCUGGUCUGAGAGGAUGACCAGCCAGACGGGAACUGAGACACGGCCCAGACUCCUACGGGAGGCAGCAGUAGGGAAUCGUGCGCAAUGGGCGCAAGCCUGAUGGAGCCAUGCCGCGUGUAUGAAGAAGGCGUUCGGAUUGUAAAGUACUUUCAGCAGGGAGGCGUUACCCGCCAAAGAAGCACCGGCUAACUCCGUGCCAGCAGCCGCGGUAAUAC
rnacentral:rRNA from 1 species